rnacentral:rRNA from 1 species
UACGGGGGGGGCAAGCGUUGUUCGGAAUUACUGGGCGUAAAGGGCGCGUAGGCGGCCUUCUAAGUCGGACGUGAAAUCCCUCGGCUUAACCGGGGAACUGCGUCUGAUACUGGAUGGCUAGAGUUUGGGAGAGGGAUGCGGAAUUCCAGGUGUAGCGGUGAAAUGCGUAGAUAUCUGGAGGAACACCGGUGGCGAAGGCGGCAUCCUGGACCAACACUGACGCUGAGGAGCGAAAGCCAGGGGAGCAAACGGG